rnacentral:rRNA from 1 species
UACAGAGGGUGCGAGCGUUAAUCGGAGUUACUGGGCGUAAAGGGCGCGUAGGCGGUAUGAUGAGUGUGAUGUGAAAGCCCCUGGGCUUAACCUAGGAAGUGCAUCGCAAACGAUCGUACUGGAGUAUAAGAGAGGGUGGCGGAAUUUCCGGUGUAGCGGUGAAAUGCGUAGAGAUCGGAAGGAACGUCAAUGGCGAAGGCAGCCACCUGGCUUAAUACUGACGCUGAGG